rnacentral:lncRNA from 1 species
UUUUCAAAUCUUUUACUUAGUUCUUUCCAAACAGCCCAAGCAUUAAAAACAUAAAUAAUUCUACCAACCAGACUAUUAGACAUUGUGUCAUUAACCAAGAGACCACAAUUGCAUUUACACGUUUUGACCCUAAAGAUCUUCCUUAAAAUUUUCUUUCUCAAUAGAUCCUCCUGCAUGCCCCAAUUUGUGUCUACCCCAAAAGCCAAUAUGCAUGAACUUACUCUACUAGAAGUAGUUUUCAGAAUCGAUCAAUUGAAUAAAACUAAGGGCUUUGCCACUUAUAUCAAACGCAUGCAAUUAGUGGGAAUUAUUAUGAUCAAUGACAUAUGUUGAUCUUUGUGAAUUAUUUUCCUGAGCUGCUGUUGAAUCAACUCCAUCAGGUACAUUGGCUUUAGGUCCAGUACUGCUUGUCAUUAUAAUUUUGGUUUUGUCAAGUUAUCUUGAAGAUAGAAUGAAAAUCUUGAAUGUUCUUGGUGAGUUGCUAACUUCUUAGCGGAAUAUCAAAGCAAAUGCAAUAAUAAUUUUUUAAAUAAAUAUUGAUGAAGAGAUUGAUGGUGUGCUUUAAUAUCAUGUAGUAAAAUAAGAUUACUAAUGAGUUGUACUUGAACUCAUUUCAGUAGCUUGAUGAAUAGAGAAGAAGUAGAAGCAAUGAGAGAGAGGAGAGAAGGAAGAAA